GACGAACGCUGGCGGCGUGCCUAAUACAUGCAAGUAGAACGCUGAAGGAGGAGCUUGCUCUUCUGGAUGAGUUGCGAACGGGUGAGUAACGCGUAGGUAACCUGCCUGGUAGCGGGGGGUAACUAUUGGAAACGAUAGCUAAUACCGCAUAACAGUAGAUGUUGCAUGACAUUUACUUAAAAGGUGCAAUUGCAUCACUACCAGUUGGUGCUGCGUUGCAUUAUCUUGUUGGUGGGGUAACGGCUCACCAAGGCGACGAUACAUAGCCGACCUGAGAGGGGGAUCGGCCACACUGGGACUGAGACACGGCCCAGACUCCUACGGGAGGCAGCAGUAGGGAAUCUUCGGCAAUGGGCGGAAGUCUGACCGAGCAACGCCGCGUGAGUGAAGAAGGUUUUCGGAUCGUAAAGCUCUGUUGUAAGGGAAGAACGAGUGUGAGAGUGGAAAGUUCACACUGUGACGGUAUCUUACCAGAAAGCGACGGCUAACUACGUG
rnacentral:rRNA from 1 species